rnacentral:rRNA from 1 species
GUGACCCCGGUCUAACCACCGGGAUGUUCAUAACCCUUUGUUGUCCGACUCUGUUGCCUCCGGGGCGACCCUGCCUUCGGGCGGGGGCUCCGGGUGGACACUUCAAACUCUUGCGUAACUUUGCAGUCUGAGUAAACUUAAUUAAUAAAUUAAAACUUUUAACAACGGAUCUCUUGGUUCUGGCAUCGAUGAAGAACGCAGCGAAAUGCGAUAAGUAAUGUGAAUUGCAGAAUUCAGUGAAUCAUCGAAUCUUGAACGCACAUUGCGCCCCCUGGUAUUCCGGGGGGCAUGCCUGUUCGAGCGUCAUUUCACCACUCAAGCCUCGCUUGGUAUUGGGCAACGCGGUCCGCCGCGUGCCUCAAAUCGACCGGCUGGGUCUUCUGUCCCCUAAGCGUUGUGGAAACUAUUCGCUAAAGGGUGCUCGGGAGGCUACGCCGUAAAACAAACCCAUUUCUAAGGUUGACCUCGGAUCAGGUAGGGAUACCCGCUGAACUUAAGCAUAUCAAUAAGCGGAGGAAAAGAAACCAACAGGGAUUGCUCUAGUAACGGCGAGUGAAGCAGCAAUAGCUCAAAUUUGAAAUCUGGCGUCUUCGACGUCCGAGUUGUAAUUUGUAGAGGAUGCUUCUGAGUAACCACCGACCUAAGUUCCUUGGAACAGGACGUCAUAGAGGGUGAGAAUCCCGUAUGCGGUCGGAAAGGUGCUCUAUACGUAGCUCCUUCGACGAGUCGAGUUGUUUGGGAAUGCAGCUCUAAAUGGGAGGUAAAUUUCUUCUAAAGCUAAAUAUUGGCCAGAGACCGAUAGCGCACAAGUAGAGUGAUCGAAAGAUGAAAAGCACUUUGGAAAGAGAGUUAAAAAGCACGUGAAAUUGUUAAAAGGGAAGGGAUUGCAACCAGACUUGCUCGCGGUGUUCCGCCGGUCUUCUGACCGGUCUACUCGCCGCGUUGCAGGCCAGCAUCGUCUGGUGCCGCUGGAUAAGACUUGAGGAAUGUAGCUCCCUCGGGAGUGUUAUAGCCUCUUGUGAUGCAGCGAGCGCCGGGCGAGGUCCGC